rnacentral:rRNA from 1 species
GACGUAGGGCGCAAGCGUUUGUCCGGAUUUAUUGGGCGUAAAGAGCUCGUAGGCGGCUCGUUGCGUCGGCUGUGAAAACCCGCAGCUCAACUGUGGGCUUGCAGCCGAUACGGGCGGGCUGGAGUUCGGUAGGGGAGACUGGAAUUCCUGGUGUAGCGGUGAAAUGCGCAGAUAUCAGGAGGAACACCGGUGGCGAAGGCGGGUCUCUGGACAGUUCCUGACACUGAGACACGAAGGCCAGGGGAGCAAACGGG